CCACGUUUUUAUGCGACGCUGUGGGUUGUCAAUUCAUUCCAAUAUGAAGCCGCUCUCGGCGAUCAGAGACGCUUCGAGCAGAGGCUCCAGCCAUCUAUUUACUCCAAUAAUAACCCCGUCACGGCGAAACGUGACGCCUUGAAGUACAAUCUAACUGGAAAACCGGGGACCCUCUCCGCGAACGGGUUUUUCUCCCUAAUUUAAUGCUUUCUUUUAAUGACAUCGUUAACAUUUCUCAACAAAAACACAUGAAAGUAACACUGAUAAUUCAACAAUAAAAUCGCUUCAUUUUCCAAAGUGAUUCACGAUCUGAAAGUGCGCAGAUUUAACGUACAUAAUCCUUGGUUGGGUUUAUUAUUUUUAUUUCACACGUAAAACACAUUUAUAGUUUUAUUCACCACUCCUGUUAGUUUUGGAUGCGCUCGGCUCCAACCAAUCAGACGCAACCGGUGUAAGCAAAGGAUGAUGGGAGAACGGAGAGACCCGUUUAUAAGAAUAAGAAAAGGAGGCGGAGUUGAUUGAUUCAAAUGCAGGUAUGUAAAAAAUACAUAUAUUUAGAGUAAUAGCUUGAUGUGUGUUUCAAAGGGUUUUUUUCACAAAAGCUUCAAACAAACAGGGGUGACUGAUCUCAGAAACGAUUUAAUGCAUUUAAAAAUGGCUACAGCUACCGUCAGCAUGCUUGCUAGGUAGAGUACGGUAACGACUACACGUGGCUAGUGCAGCAUUAGCCAUUUAAUCCAACGAUGAUCAUUAAAUCUAUUAUAAACAUUUAAGGACUUGUGUGUUGUAAAAGAGCCUCACAUGGUGUGUAAAGCAGUUUUUGCGCUAACAGUUCUGCUAGCUCUUUACAAACCUAUGAUGCUAACGUUAAUUGCUAACGUUAACCUGAGCGCUAAGCUUCAAGCUGCUGACGAACUCCGUCAAGACAUGCAGAUCAGCAUCAAUGUCCACGUGAAGAACCUAGUUAUGUUGCCAGUGUCAACCCAACAAAAGGCACUUUCACAAUAUAUAAAAGAAGUGUAUGGAACUGAGGUGCUUCGUCAGGAGCUGCUUCAGUUGUUGGAGGAUGGAGAAGAGGACGCAGCCAUGACUUGUGAGACGGCGUCUGAGUCAGCUGCUACUCACUAGGAGAUCAGAAACAUGGUGUCCUUGCAAAAGUGGAAAGAGGCCAGGCCUUGUCUUAUAGACAAUAUGUUAGCUACUCUGGAUCCACUGUCACACCGUGUGUGUCAGUGUGGCAAACAAGUAGUUGUGAGGUGUCUGGACUGCCUGCCUCUUCCAUUCCUUUGUGCUGAGUGUGAUAUUGCAGUUCACACACGCUUUGUCCUGCACAACAGAGAGGCAGUAACAGGAGGGUUUUUGCAGCCUUCAUCAGAGUUUCACAAGCCAAUAGGUACGGUUUUUAAUCCUAUGCAUUUCUUGCUAUGUACUAUGAGUGGGUGCUGUUAUUGUAUCAUGUAUUGUGUAUCAUUUAAUUUCAAAUUCUUUUUAUAUAUAUUGUGUGUUUUUAAUGUUAGUUCGGCUGUUGCCUGUGCAAAGGCCAGACCAUGUGUGUGACUGCCAAGCAGGUAACGUUGAGGUUUCACCCGGCGCAGUUGUGGCUCUUGUAACCAUAAAUGGCUGUUAUAACCUUGCACUGCCAGUGGUGAGCUGCACCAGCUGUGACCUAAUGUGGUCCCCCUCAGUUAAGGACAUCCUGGGUAGUGGAUAUUGGCCUGGCACCUUAAAUUUCUGCACCCUGUUUUCAAUGGAUGGCUUUCAGUCUUUCUAUGACAUUAAGAAGGCUGCACCAGGGAUGUCACUUAAGGCAUUUGUCAAAAUGCUGGAUGAAAGAACAGCCCAUUUUGGAAGGACUGGCCGAAUAUCAGCUGAUGCCUUCAGUAAAAGCUUUGUGGAGUGGAGUGCUGUUUGAGGUGGACAGGAUGUGCAAGGAGCC